rnacentral:rRNA from 1 species
GACGAACGCUGGCGGCGUGCCUAACACAUGCAAGUCGAACGAGGUCCAUCCUUCGGGAGAAGACCUAGUGGCGAACGGGUGAGUAACACGUGAAGAACCUGCCCGAAGACCGGGAUAACCCUCCGAAAGGAGAGCUAAUACCGGAUACCCCCACCGAACCGCAUGGUUUGGUGAGGAAAUGGAUUCCGCUUCGGGAGGGCUUCGCGGCCUAUCAGCUAGUUGGUGGGGUAACGGCCCACAAGGCAUCGACGGGUAGCUGGUCUGAGAGGACGAUCAGCCACACUGGGACUGAGACACGGCCCAGACUCCUACGGGAGGCAGCAGUGGGGAAUCUUGCGCGAUGGGCGAAAGCCUGACGCAGCAACGCCGCGUGGGGGAUGAAGGCUCUCGGGUUGUAAACCCCUUUCAGCAGGGACGAAUCAAGACGGUACCUGCAGAAGAAGCCCCGGCUAACUACGUGCCAGCAGCCGCGGUAAU